rnacentral:rRNA from 1 species
UUCGCAAUGCCCGAAAGGGUGACGAAGCGACGCCGCGUGUGGGAAGAAGGCCUUCGGGUUGUAAACCACUGUCAGGAGUUAGGGAGUGCAGGAGCGUUAAUAGCGUUCUUGCUUGACUAAGGCUCCAGAGGAAGCCACGGCUAACUCUGAGCCAGCAGCCGCGGUAAUACAGAGGCGGCAAGCGUUGUUCGGAAUUAUUGGGCGUAAAGAGCACGUAGGCGGCCUUGCAAGUCAGUUGUGAAAGCCUUCCGCUUAACGGAAGAAUGCCAGCUGAUACUACAGGGCUUGAGUACGGGAGGGGAGAGUGGAACUUCUGGUGGAGCGGUGAAAUGCGUAGAUAUCAGAAGGAACGCCGGCGGCGAAAGCAACUCUCUGGCCCGAAACUGACGCUGAGUGUGCGAAAGCUAGGGGAGCAAACGGGAUUAGAUACCCCGGUAGUCCUAGCCGUAAACGAUGGGCACUAAGUAGAGGGGUUUU